rnacentral:rRNA from 1 species
AUGGGGGCUCUAGAGAAGACAAUUAGGGGCUUUGCGGAAAGGGCUGGGGAUGAAGUGGUGAAGCCGGAGCUCGGGACAUCUUUUGACUCACUAACAGAGGCGUACGAUUUUUACAACUUAUAUUCAUGGGAGCAUGGGUUUGGUAUUAGAUACGGAAAGAGCCGACUUAAUCUAGAUAAAAGAAAGACCAUGCAGGAGAUUGUGUGCGGCUGCUCGGGGAAACCUCUGCGUGAGAAUACACGUUCUUGCAGAUGUGAGUGUCCAGCAAUGAUAAGGUUGUUAAGGACAUCGGACAACGGCUGGUACAUAACGGAGCAUCGAGUCAAGCAUAAUCAUGUGAUGACGCCAAAUUGUGGAGAAAUGCUGCACUGGCCAUCUCACAAGCACAUUGAUGUGUACACCAAAGAUCUGGUUCGGAACCUACGGAAGAACAACAUCAACCUCAGCAAGGUGUACAGCAUUAUAGCUGGGUUUUUUUGGCACAGUUGA